UACAGAGGGUGCAAGCGUUAAUCGGAAUUACUGGGCGUAAAGCGUGCGUAGACGGUAGCGUAAGUCGGGUGUGAAAGCCCCGGGCUCAACCUGGGAAUUGCAUUCGAGACUGCUCUGCUAGGGUGCGGAAGAGGGGAGCGGAAUUUCAGGUGUAGCGGUGAAAUGCGUAGAUAUCUGAAGGAACACCAGUGGCGAAAGCGGCUCCCUGGUCCAGCACCGACGUUCAGGCACGAAAGCGUGGGGAGCAAACAGG
rnacentral:rRNA from 1 species